rnacentral:lncRNA from 1 species
GACCACACGAAGGUAUAAUGUUAAAAACCCAAGAAUGGUAACUCUUGGACCCUUAACACUUCAUACAACAAUAAACUUAUCUCUUACAAAGACACAAGAUCGAAAUCCACCUCUCUAGCAUCAAUGUUUCCAAGCAAUCAACAACAAAGAGAAUCCACCCUAUUGUUGUCUCCAAGUUUCGGGAGAAGAGAGGACUUUGUGUUUUUCAAGUGUUUCUCACUUCAACAUCCAUAAUAAUCUAAGUAAAUAAAACCCUGCAUUGUUCUUUAUAUAACUAUUACAAGAUAUAAGUUAAAAUGACCAAAAGGGCCUUCAAAG